rnacentral:rRNA from 1 species
GGAAUCUUCGGCAAUGGACGAAAGUCUGACCGAGCAACACCGCGUGAGUGAAGAAGGUCUUCGGAUUGUAAAGCUCUGUUAUUAGGGAAGAAAGAGAUUAGCAGGAAAUGGCUAAUAAGUGACGGUACCUAAUGAGAAAGCCACGGCUAACUACGUGCCAGCAGCCGCGGUAAUACGUAGGUGGCAAGCGUUGUCCGGAAUUAUUGGGCGUAAAGAGUGCGUAGGCGGUCUAUUAAGUCUCAUUUGAAAGCCCAUGGCUUAACCAUGGAGGGUGAUGGGAAACUGAUAGACUUGAGUACAGGAGAGGAAGGUGGAAUUCCACGUGUAGCGGUGAAAUGCGUAGAGAUGUGGAGGAACACCAGUGGCGAAGGCGGCCUUCUGGCCUGUGUCUGACGCUGAGGCACGAAAGCGUGGGUAGCAAA